rnacentral:rRNA from 1 species
UACGUAAGGUGCGAGCGUUGUCCGGAAUUAUUGGGCGUAAAGAGCUCGUAGGCGGUGUGUCGCGUCGGCCGUGAAAACCUGGGGCUUAACUCUGGGCGUGCGGUCGAUACGGGCAUCACUAGAGUUCGGCAGGGGAGACUGGAAUUCCUGGUGUAGCGGUGAAAUGCGCAGAUAUCAGGAGGAACACCGGUGGCGAAGGCGGGUCUCUGGGCCGAUACUGACGCUGAGGAGCGAAAGCAUGGGUAGCGAACAGG